rnacentral:rRNA from 1 species
GAAUUCGCCCUUAGAGUUUGAUCCUGGCUCAGGAUGAACGCUGGCGGCGUGCUUAACACAUGCAAGUCGAACGGGGCGGCGGGGAGGAAUCCCUUCGGGGAGGAGACCCCGCGGUCUAGUGGCGGACGGGUGAGUAACGCGUGGGCAACCUGCCCCAUACCGGGGGAUAACAGCCGGAAACGGCUGCUAACACCGCAUAAGCGCUGGGGGCCGCAUGGCUCUCAGCGGAAAACUCCGGUGGUAUGGGAUGGGCCCGCGUCUGAUUAGGCAGUUGGCGGGGCAGCGGCCCACCAAACCGACGAUCAGUAGCCGGCCUGAGAGGGCGGCCGGCCACAUUGGGACUGAGACACGGCCCAGACUCCUGCGGGAGGCAGCAGUGGGGAAUAUUGCACAAUGGGGGGAACCCUGAUGCAGCGACGCCGCGUGGGCGAGGAAGUAUUUCGGUAUGUAAAGCCCCAUCGGCAGGGAAGAAGAAAUGACGGUACCUGAAUAAGAAGCACCGGCUAAAUACGUGCCAGCAGCCGCGGUAAUACGUAUGGUGCAAGCGUUAUCCGGAUUUACUGGGCGUAAAGGGAGCGCAGGCGGCGCGCCAAGUCUGAUGUGAAACCCCGGGGCUCAACCCCGGGCAUGCAUUGGAAACUGGCGGGCUGGAGUGUCGGAGAGGUAAGCGGAAUUCCUAGUGUAGCGGUGAAAUGCGUAGAUAUUAGGAGGAACACCAGUGGCGAAGGCGGCUUACUGGACGGCAACUGACGCUGAGGCUCGAAAGCGUGGGGAGCAAACAGGAUUAGAUACCCUGGUAGUCCACGCCGUAAACGAUGGAUAAUAGGUGUGGGGGGUUGGACCCCCUCCGUGCCGCAGUUAACACAAUAAGUAUCCCACCUGGGGAGUACGAUCGCAAGGUUGAAACUCAAAGGAAUUGACGGGGGCCCGCACAAGCGGUGGAGUAUGUGGUUUAAUUUGAAGCAACGCGAAGAACCUUACCAGGGCUUGACAUCCCGGUGACCGCUGUAGAGAUACAGUUUUCCCUUCGGGGACGCCGGUGACAGGUGGUGCAUGGUUGUCGUCAGCUCGUGUCGUGAGAUGUUGGGUCAAGUCCCGCAACGAGCGCAACCCUUGUGGCAUGUUGCUAACAGGAAAAGCUGAGGACUCAUGCCAGACUGCCGGUGACAAACCGGAGGAAGGCGGGGAGGACGUCAAAUCAUCAUGCCCCUUAUGGCCUGGGCUACACACGUACUACAAUGGCGGCUACAAAGAGAAGCGAGACAGGGAUGUCGAGCGAAUCUCAUAAAAGCCGUCCCAGUUCGGAUUGGAGGCUGCAACCCGCCUCCAUGAAGUUGGAAUCGCUAGUAAUCGCGGAUCAGCAUGCCGCGGUGAAUACGUUCCCGGGCCUUGCACACACCGCCCGUCA